rnacentral:lncRNA from 1 species
AUGGUGGAGGAACCAUGGAAAGGGGUGGGAAUGUUGAGGGGAAAAACCUUGGAAUUGGGAGUUUUCAUGGGAAAAGUUUGGUGUUGGAGGAGCCUUGGAGGAACCUUUGGAGACCCUUUGGAAGGGGAUGGGGUUGGAAGGGCUUUGGUUCCAGGACAGGGUCUCCAAAGGGUCUCCAAGGUUCCUCCAAGCCCAAAUUCCAGGAGCUGCUCUGCAGCCUCAGGUGGGCCUGGAAUGGUGGAGGAACCAUGGAAAGGGGUGGGAAUGUUGAGGGGGAAAAGAUGGGAAAAAGCUCGGAAUUGGGAGUUUUCACGGGAAAUGUUUGGUGUUGGAGGAGCCUUUGGAGGAACCUUUGGAGGAACCUUUGGAGACCCUUUGGAAGGGGAUGGGAUUGGAAGGGCUUUGGUUCCCAGGACAGGGUCUCCAAGGUUCCUCCAAGGUUCCUCCAAGCCCAAAUUCCAGGAGCUGCUCUGCAGCCUCAGGUGCGCCCGGAAUGGUGGAGGAACCAUGGAAAGGGGUGGGAAUGUUGAGGGGAAAAAGAUGGGAAAAACCUUGGAGUUUUCACGGGAAAAAUUUGGUGUUGGAGGAGCCUUUGGCUUUGGUUCCCAGGACAGGGUCUCCAAAGGGUCUCCAAGGUUCCUCCAAGNAGGGUCUCCAAAGGGUCUCCAAGGUUCCUCCAAGGUUCCUCCAAGCCCAAAUUCCAGGAGCUGCUCUGCAGCCUCAGGUGGGCCUGGAAUGGUGGAGGAACCAUGGAAGGGGGUGGGAAUGUUGGGGGGAAAAACCUUGGAAUUGGGAGUUUUCAUGGGAAAUGUUUGGUGUUGGAGGAGCCUUUGGAAGACGAUGGAGUUGGAAGGGCUUUGGUUGCCAGGACAGGGUCUCCAAAGGGUCUCCAAGGUUCCUCCAAGGGGUCUCCAAAGGGUCUCCAAGGUUCCUCCAAGCUCAAAUUCCAGGAGCUCGUCUGCAGCCUCAGGUGGGCCUGGAAUGGUGGAGGAUCCAUGGAAAGGGGUGGGAAUGUUGAGGGGAAAAAGAUGGGAAAAAGCUCGGAAUUGGGAAUUUUCAUGGGAAAUGUUUGGUGUUGGAGGAACCUUUGGAGGAACCUUUGGAGGAGCCUUUGGAAGGGGAUGGGGUUGGAAGGGCUUUGGUUCCCAGGACAGGGUCUCCAAGGUUCCUCCAAGGUUCCUCCAAGCCCAAAUUCCAGGAGCUGCUCUGCAGCCUCAGGUGGACCUGGAAUGGUGGAGGAACCAUGGAAAGGGGUGGGAAUGUUGA